rnacentral:rRNA from 1 species
CCUACGGGUGGCAGCAGUGAGGAAUAUUGGUCAAUGGGCGCAAGCCUGAACCAGCCAAGUAGCGUGAAGGAUGACUGCCCUACGGGUUGUAAACCUCUUUUAUAAAGGAAUAAAGUGAGGGACGUGUGCUUUUUUGUAUGUACUUUAUGAAUAAGGAUCGGCUAACUCCGUGCCAGCAGCCGCGGUAAUACGGAGGAUCCGAGCGUUAUCCGGAUUUAUUGGGUUUAAAGGGUGCGUAGGUGGCUUUUUAAGUCAGUGGUGAAAGUUUGCGGCUCAACCAUAAAAUUGCAGUUGAUACUGGCAGCCUUGAGUACGGUUGAGGUAGGCGGAAUGCGUGGUGUAGCGGUGAAAUGCUUAGAUAUCACGAAGAACUCCGAUUGCGAAGGCAGCCUACUAAGCUGCCACUGACAUUGAUGCUCGAAAGUGUGGGUAUCAAACAGGAUUAGAUACCCCUGUAGUC